UACGUAGGGCGCAAGCGUUGUCCGGAAUUAUUGGGCGUAAAGAGCUCGUAGGCGGCCAGUUGCGUCCGCUGUGAAAUCCCGGGGCUUAACCCCGGGCGUGCAGUGGAUACGGGCUGGCUAGAGGCAGGCAGGGGAGAACGGAAUUCCCGGUGUAGCGGUGAAAUGCGCAGAUAUCGGGAGGAACACCGGUGGCGAAGGCGGUUCUCUGGGCCUGUACUGACGCUGAGGAGCGAAAGCAUGGGGAGCGAACAGG
rnacentral:rRNA from 1 species